rnacentral:lncRNA from 1 species
GACAGUGUUAUGCGAGAUCCAUAAAUGAAUUUCUACAACAUUUUUUCCAUAAUUUUUCGCAAAUUUUUCAUAGCCACUCUUUAAGACUAUCAACCAACUAUUCUGUAAACAUUCAAGGAACUAAUACUUCUGUAUAUGAAAAAGAUAAAGAAAAGAAAAGAAAAGAAAAUCAUCGACCUAUAACCUCCACACACACGCAUGGGGUAGUUCAUGAAUACGAGUAUAACAAAUCGAGAUUUAACAUCGAACUAAUGUAUCCACUGCACUUCCAGCGGCGUCGCUCGCCAUGUCGAUGCACUGAGAGCAGGAACCAGUCUAGCAGCGAUGGAUGAUGCUUCCGUUCAUGGACUCGCCAAGCCGCAUGCCACCGGCAUCCAGCUCUGCACUCCUUUCUCUGAAACCAUCACGACCGCACUUGCAACUCGUCGCGUGAUCAGAGCUAGGUUUCUUACUGCGAUG